AUGACGUUGAGAAGUGAAACCCUGGUCUGCACGACGCUCCUGAACACCCUAUUGCAGGCGCCAUCGCACUCAUCGAAGCACCGCUCUAGCACAUGCAGUCUCUCCAUGGCCGCCUCUGCCGUCUCCGGCGCGGCGGCCUUCCUGGUGGCGAACACGGGAACAAAUAUGGCCAUCUUCUUGCAACAGGAUGCCGAGUACGACAUUGAUGCGGCAGCUGAGAACACGGCCGCGGAGGCCGCGGCGCUCGCAGCGGCUGCCUGCAUGAUCGCACCGGCCAUCUCUGCAUCCUCGCCGACGAGGUUCAGGCGGGCGCACUUGGAGGAGACGGCGGAGAUGGACGCAGCGAGCCGAGCGAGGACCUUCUCGGCCCGACGCUGGGACCUGGCGGCAGACGCGAGCCUUGUGGCUUCGCCCCUGCGGAGCGCAGCACGGGACUCGGCCGCCGCAUGA
rnacentral:rRNA from 1 species